ACGCUCGACACCUACGGGAGGCAGCAGUUGGGAAUAUUGGACAAUGGAGGAAACUCUGAUCCAGUGACGCCGCGUGAAGGAAGAAGGUCUUCGGAUUGUAAACUUAUUUUGUCAGGGAAGAAAAAUGACUGUACCUGAAGAAAAAGCACCGGCUAACUACGUGCCAGUAGCCCGGUAAUCUGAGCGGGCUGGCAAGGC
rnacentral:rRNA from 1 species